AGUGAACGCUGGCGGUAGGCCUAAUACAUGCAAGUCGAACGGAAACACAGUAAGAGUUCGCCUCUACGGGUGGCGAGGGGCGGACGGGUAAGGCGUAGAUAGGCAUCUAAUUUUUCGGGGGGGAUUACGUAGGAACACUUCUGCUACUACAGAAUAUAUUCUACCGGUGGAUGCAGUAGUUAUAGGCAGCUUUGCUGUCUGAUUGAGAUGGAGCCGGGCCGCAUUAGCUAGUUGGUAAGGUAACGGCAUACCAAGGCAACGAUGCGUAGCCGACCUGAGAGGAUGAUCAGCCACACUGGAACUGAGACACGGUCCAGACUCCUACGGGAGGCAGCAGUAGGGAAUAUUCGACAAUGGGCGCAAGCCUGACGCAGCAACGCCGCGUGGGUGAUGAAGGCCUUCGGGUUGUAAAGCCCUUUUGUUGGGAAAGAAAAAAAGCAGAAUUAUACCCCGCUGUCCUGACGGUACCCAAAGAAAAAGCCCCGGCUAACUUCGUG
rnacentral:rRNA from 1 species